rnacentral:rRNA from 1 species
GACGUAGGGCGCGAGCGUUGUCCGGAUUUAUUGGGCGUAAAGAGCUCGUAGGCGGUUCGUCGCGUCGGCUGUGAAAACCUGAGGCUCAACCUCAGGCCUGCAGUCGAUACGGGCGGACUUGAGUACUGCAGGGGAGACUGGAAUUCCUGGUGUAGCGGUGAAAUGCGCAGAUAUCAGGAGGAACACCGGUGGCGAAGGCGGGUCUCUGGGCAGUAACUGACGCUGAGGAGCGAAAGCGUGGGGAGCAAACAGG